AACGAACGCUGGCGGCAGGCUUAACACAUGCAAGUCGAACGCAUCGCAAGAUGAGUGGCAGACGGGUGAGUAACGCGUGGGAAUCUACCUAGUUCUACGGAACAACAGUUGGAAACGACUGCUAAUACCGUAUACGCCCUACGGGGGAAAGAUUUAUCGGAAUUAGAUGAGCCCGCGUAAGAUUAGCUAGUUGGUGGGGUAAUGGCCUACCAAGGCGACGAUCUUUAGCUGGUCUGAGAGGAUGAUCAGCCACACUGGGACUGAGACACGGCCCAGACUCCUACGGAAGGGAGGAGUGGGGAAUAUUGGACAAUGGGCGCAAGCCUGAUCCAGUCAUGCCGCGUGAGUGAUGAAGGCCUUAGGGUUGUAAAGCUCUUUCACCGAGGAAGAUAAUGACGGUAGUCGGAGAAGAAGCCCCGGCUAACUUCGUGCCAGCAGCCGCCGUAAAAC
rnacentral:rRNA from 1 species